rnacentral:lncRNA from 1 species
UAAUUUCAGGAAAUGAAACAUCUUUUGCAGGGUUAAAUCCUUCAGCUGUGUUGGCAUUACAAAGUACUCGAAUAGAGUUCUUGAGCGUAUCAGGUAAGGAUAAUGAUGUCCCUCGGCACUAAACAAACACAAAGAUGAACAGAUGCAUGUAAUCAAUUAAUAAUAAUAAUCAAAUGUAAUGAAAUUUUAAGUCUAAAUAUUUAUGCCUUUUAGUUUACCAUGUCAUGACAAGCAAGGGUGAAGUGAUCUGCUCCAAGACUUCGAUUCCAAUAAGGAUAUCUUGCAGCAAUGACAUUGACAUAAUCUGUCACAAUGUUUCUUUG